GUGAGGAAUAUUGCGCAAUGGAGGCAACUCUGACGCAGCCAUGCCGCGUGCAGGAAGAAGGCGCUACGCGUUGUAAACUGCUUUUAACCGGGAAGACACCCCAGGACGUGUCCUGGGUUGACGGUACCGGAGGAAUAAGCACCGGCUAACUCUGUGCCAGCAGCCGCGGUAAUACAGCGGGUGCGAGCGUUAAUCGGAUUUACUGGGCGUAAAGCGUGCGUAGGCGGCUUUUUAAGUCGGAUGUAAAAUCCCCGAGCUUAACUUGGGAACUGCCUCCAAAACGGCAUGACUAGAGUACGGUAGAGGGUAGUGGAAUUUCCUGUGUAGCGGUGAAAUGCGUAGAUAUAGGAAGGAACACCAGUGGCGAAGGCGACUACCUGGACUGAUACUGACACUGAGGUGCGAAAGCGUGGGGAGCAAACAGGAUUAAAAACCCGAGUGGUCC
rnacentral:rRNA from 1 species